CACCUAUUCAAUUUUACAUACCUGUCUUUACUUGAUAUCCUAGGCUAGCCACACCUUUAGAUUCCUUUCUACCUCAUUAGAACAUAGGAAAAAGACUUUCUGACAGACAAAGAAGAUAAUACCACUUACGGGAUAAAUUUAUUGAAAUGUAACUGAUAGAAAUUGAAAGAAACUGUGAUGAUGUCUUGAUGACACAGGGAUUUGAUUGCAGUCUAUCUUAAAAUGCUCAAGCUUCAGCUCUCCAGGUUUGUGAAGAGGUGUGUGAUCAUCGUUCUUCAUUUUUCUUCUGUGACAUGUCUCACACCCAGCUGCAAGUUCCCCUUCAGUUUUACCUGGGCAUCUCCAGCAGCUGUCUCCUGUGCUCGCUUCUCCAGUUCAAGACCAUUGUGUCUUAUCUGCUCCAGUGCCACUCAAGGGUAUCAAUACUAAGUCCUCUCCUGUCUGAGAAGCUACAUGAAGUCAUCACCAAUCUCCUGGGAUUCACCAUCAGCCGGAUACUCACAGCAGAGACAUUCCCUCUCCACCUCCAUCAACACUGUUGUCCUAAUUCCUCAGAAACACUGCUCACUGGAGGCCACAAUGAGUUAAAGCCCCACUGUGCCCAUGUUCCUUAAUGCUUCUUCUCUCAAUAUAUCUUUCAGAAGUUUAUACAUAAUUUACCGAGAACUUAUUAUAUACUGUACAUAUUAUAGACAUGAAGGAUAUGGUUCUUACAUAAACCUGACCUGGCUCAGUGAAGUGGAAGAUGAAUGUAAAUAUAUUAGCCGUUAAAAUACAACCCAGCACUUAUGGAUGUACAACUGAGGCUCAGAUAUUGUUAUUUUUAAUGUUUCCCUUAUUACUCCAUCUGCCUCCUCUCCAGUAUUAGGUUACUAAAAUCCAAUGACAUGAAGGUCAGUUUACUUUUGACACUCAGAGAUGAGGCUGCACAAUGGGAGGGUGCACAAAUGCAAGAAUCUGGGAGAAAUUGCUG
rnacentral:lncRNA from 1 species